rnacentral:other from 1 species
UUACCCCUGCCUGACGCGUGAUGGCCAAAGACUAAGCUGAACCAACAAACCGUUUUUGGGAACCUAAAUCGCGAGCUGUGAGCAUGCCCUAUUGUACAGGGAAGCCUGAGGCGCGUGAGGGGGUGCCCACCUGCUGAGGUAGGUUCAACGGUUUUUAUGUCACACGGUCUAGGCGGGGGGUCU